AGUGAACGCUGGCGGUAGGCCUAACACAUGCCAGUCGAACGGCAGCACAGUAAGAGCUUGCUCUUACGGGUGGCGAGUGGCGGACGGGUGAGGAAUACAUCGGAAUCUACUUUUUCGUGGGGGAUAACGUAGGGAAACUUACGCUAAUACCGCAUACGACCUACGGGUGAAAGCAGGGGAUCUUCGGACCUUGCGCGAUUGAAUGAGCCGAUAUCGGAUUAGCUAGUUGGCGGGGUAAAGGCCCACCAAGGCGACGAUCCGUAGCUGGUCUGAGAGGAUGAUCAGCCACACUGGAACUGAGACACGGUCCAGACUCCUACGGGAGGCAGCAGUGGGGAAUAUUGGACAAUGGGCGCAAGCCUGAUCCAGCCAUACCGCGUGGGUGAAGAAGGCCUUCGGGUUGUAAAGCCCUUUUGUUGGGAAAGAAAAGCAGCAGGUUAAUACCCCGCUGUUCUGACGGUACCCAAAGAAUAAGCACCGGCUAACUUCGUG
rnacentral:rRNA from 1 species